GCUGGGAACGGUGGCCCACGCCUGUGAUCCUGGAACUCUGGAGGCUGAGGCAGGAGGAUCGCCAGGUGGAGGCCAGCCUCAGCCACAGCGAGGCCCUAAGCAACUCAGCGAGACCCUGUCUCUC
rnacentral:sRNA from 1 species